rnacentral:rRNA from 1 species
UACGUAGGGUGCAAGCGUUAAUCGGAAUUACUGGGCGUAAAGCGUGCGCAGGCGGUUCGCUAAGUCAGAUGUGAAAUCCCCGGGCUUAACCUGGGAACUGCAUUUGAGACUGGCGGGCUAGAGUAUGGCAGAGGGAGGUAGAAUUCCACGUGUAGCAGUGAAAUGCGUAGAGAUCCGGAGGAACACCGACGGCGUAAGCAGCGCCCUAAACGAGUACUGACGCUCAGGCACGAAAGCUGGGGGAGCAAACAGG